CUCUCGCUUGAAAAAAGAAAAAAAGAAGGAAAGAAAGAAAGACGACCAAAACGGCCUGCGUUUUGUGAUUCGUUUGGAUUGAGGUAAAAGAAGAGCGAGGAGGGAAAGGGGAAUUAGGGUUCACAGUGGGGCGACACUGGAGACUGCGGAGGAGAAAAUGGGACGGAACUAGAUCGAUGUGAAGAGAAUCGAAUCGAAGAUAGCUGUAAUCGCUAUGUGACCUUCUGCAAGAGAAGAUCUGGAAUCAUCAAGAAGGCUCGCGAUCUCUGUUCUCUGCGACGUUGAGCUCAGACUCGUCGUCUUCACCAACCGAGGAGUAUUGCAGCGGAAAUAGGCGUAGACUUUCCUUGGUAUGGACUAAUCAUGAGGAUUUGAUUUUGUUUCCCGUUAUGAGUUGGGGAACUUUUUUCCUUUACAAAAAGUGAUCUAUUUGAAUACAUUUGGUGGAGAAAUCAUAUGCUAAAAUUAUUGUGAAUUUACUUUGCAAUCAAAUAAAGCAAAAUUAUUUAA